UCGUUUUUGCGUGAGGUCGAUUCCCGUUUUGUUGCUUUCCUGAAAUUAGUUUCUACUUUGUAAGCAGAAAAAAAGCGUAAAAAAGGAGGAACAAAGAGGGGAGCAGAAAGAUCGACGAGACAACGAUGGGGUAUGUAUUGAGGGUGAGAUUGGCUUCAUUCUUCACGGGGGCAGCAACAGCGUCCUUUCUGGGUCUCUACAUCUUGUACAAGGAUUACAAGGUCGCCCAUGAAUCCAUUGCCCAACGGGUACUCCCCUAUUCCUUUUUCGCAUUGUUUUGUUUCGUAGCUCAUAGGGCAGCUUUCAAUUUCUUUAUGAAAUUUUUGGAUUAUUCUGGGUUUUAUAUUUUUUGCUCAUUUGCGAGUUUGUAUAGUGAAAUCCAUGAGUAGAGGAAUGGUUGGAAACUGAUUUUAGAUAUUUUAUUUUACUUUUUUUACUCUAUGCGAUCAGUGCUGCUGCUGAUUAAUGUUUGCUUACUAUGCAUUUCAAAUAUGGAUUAGGCAUUGCAAUGCAUAUGUAGCUGCUUGGAUGAUUGAUAAUUAUAUAGAUUGUCGAUGGUUAUUAUGGAAAUGAAAGAAUAUGGUGAAUUUUCCUUUGUUCUGGUAGCACGGGAUAGGGUACAAGAUAUCUCUCAAGGUUGUCUUUUGCGGUCUGAAUUUGCCCAAUUGUAGCCGGCUUGGGUUAAGAACUUAAUAUAAGAGUCGUUGUUAUUUGGUAAGGGCCAAGGGGAGAGAAGUAUGCUAUCUUGGAUGAGAAAGGCUCAAUUUUGAUGCUUUGAGGGUUUUGACAAGGCAGAUGCAAAACCUAGUAAAAACUGUACUGCAUACAUAGUUAACAUUGCAAGUCUCAAAUGUUACCUUGAAAACCUUUUAGAGUAAACAGGAUUUGUUUUACUUCUAAUAUUUCUAUUAGUUUUUGACAUUAUCACAGUCCUAUUUUUUGGGUUGGAUUUUCCUGUUGAUUCCUAUUUAUAUACUUUCAGCACAUUUUUUGUUUUCUUCUGGGUGCAUUUGUGUUGUCCCUGCUUUUUGUUGGACAUUUUUCAUCUAUGGUUGAUCUUUGUUGUGCCUUACAAAAGUACUAGUAUACCAACUAUAGGUGUAAUUUAUUCGGUAGUGAAGGCAUAUAAGAUAAAUAUUGCGAAGGAAUAGGAUGGUACAGAGAAGGGAUAAUAGAAUCUGAUGCAUGUUUAUACCAAAAGAUUGUAAUGCUUGAGACUCCCAAUUAUAUCUAUUCCAAUGAGUUGCUAUUUCUUCUUGUGAAAAUGAUGAACCACCAAAAGAAAAGUUGUAGAAUGGGCAGUUACCUAUGUUCCACUGAACAGAAUAAUUACAAAAUGAGUAUUUAUUAUUGUUGUUUUUAUUUUUCCCCCAGAGGCGCAUGUCUUUAUGGAUUCUAACCUGCAGUAGCCAUUUCAAGGGUUUAGUUGUGUGCUUAUGUUUUUCAUUUUUCCCUUUGUUUCAAGGUGAAAAGGCUUCAUGAGCCCCUAGAUAGGCGAAUCUCUGCUCUGGAGAGUUUGAAACAAGGUGAAACUUCACAACAUGUGGAAGCAACAGAAUAGGUCCUUCGUGACAAAAAAAAAAAAAAAAAAAGAUUUUUCCUAAAUAUGCAAUUGGUUCCUCGGUAAUGUUUUUUUGUUUCUGCCCU
rnacentral:lncRNA from 1 species